UACAGAGGUCCCAAGCGUUAUCCGGAUUCACUGGGUUUAAAGGGUGCGUAGGAGGGCAGGUAAGUCAGUGGUGAAAUCUCCAAGCUUAACUUGGAAACUGCCGUUGAUACUAUCUGUCUUGAAUACCGUGGAGAUGAGCGGAAUAUGUCAUGUAGCGGUGAAAUGCUUAGAUAUGACAUAGAACACCAAUUGCGAAGGCAGCUCGCUACACAUAUAUUGACUCUGAGGCACGAAAGCGUGGGGAUCAAACAGG
rnacentral:rRNA from 1 species